UCCUAACAUAAAUAUUCUUCCUUUGUUUCUAGAAAGAAGUCACACAUACAGUAAAAAUAAUUAGAGAGGACCUAGUUCAUAUUGAACAAUCUUCCCCACACCCUGAAACAGGUCUUCUUUCUAAAACCAGAGAUAUCUUGAGUGAGUCCAACCCCUGCAGUCCCCUCUGUCUGGAAUAGAUGGAGGAAGUUUACUCCAGCCUUAGAACAGCAUGGGCUGGCAAGCGUUCUCAGAGAGGUCUCAACUUCAACUCUAAAGGGCCUGAGGAAUAUGUGCAACUGGGUCGGGUUAAGGCGAAGCUGAAUUACAUGACGAGGGCUCUCACCAGCACCAAAGUCAGUGGAAGGAUAUCAGUCCCCAGAGCUCUGUUACAGGCCAUGGAUGCUCCAUGGAGGGGUGGUGAGCAUAUGAAUAACAAUCAGGAGAAACGUCGGUAAUGGACAGGAGGCAUAAAUAAACAAUAUCCACCCUCCUCUAAAACCCAGGAGAGUUCUCAUUUCAAAAGACGAUGUCUUGAAGGAAACAUAGGUACAAAUCUUUGUGACUUUGGAUUAGACAUUUUUUAAGUGGGCACAAACAACCGAAAAAUAGAUAGAUAAAUGGACUUCAUUAAAAUAAAAAACUUAUAUGCUUCAAAGGACACUGUCAAUGAAGUGAAAAGAUAAUCCACAUAAUGGGAGAACUAUUUCCAAAUUAUAUAUUUGACACAGGUCUAGUACCUAGAGUAUAUAAGGAAUUCAUAUAACUGAGCAAUAAAUGACAACCACAUUUAACAAUGGGAAAAAAGCUGUGAGUAGAGGUUUCUCUAAAGGAAACACACAAAUGGCCAAGAAGCACAUGCAAAGAUGUUCAACGUUUUCCGUCAGUAGGAAAAUGUAAAUUUAAACCCAAAUGAGAUACCACUUCACACCCACCAGUAUGACUUAAGAAAAAAAUAAAGACGACACAUGUUUCAAAAGUGAUGGAGAAUAUGGAAUUCUCACAUAUUACUAUUGGGAAUCUAAAAUGGCAUAGCUACUGAAGUUGGUAAACAGUGUGUGAGUUCCUCAAAAAGUUAAACAUAAAAAAAAGUUAAACAUAAAGUGACAUAUGAUGCAGCAAUUGCACUCCUAGGUUUAUAACCAAGAAAAGGAAAAACAGGUGUUCACUCAAAAACUUGUACAAAGCUGUUCACAGCAGCAUUAUUCAUAAUAGUUAAACAGUGGAAACAUCUUAAACCACCAUCAGUUGAUGAAUAAACAAAAUGUGGUAUAACCAUAUAGUGGAAUAUUAUUUGGCCAUAAAAAGUUGAAGUACUGAUGCAGGCUAAAAAGGAUGAAACUUGAGAACAAUAUUCUAAGAAGCAGAUAGAAAAUACCACGCUUUGUUAUUCCAUAUAGAGGAAGUACCCAGAACAAGUACAUCAAUAUAUAGAGAAAGUAGAUUAGUGGUUGUCAGAGAGCGCAAGAUUGCGAAAGUUUUGGAACAUGGUAAAAGACACUGGAAAUGUAUGCUUAAAAAGGGUGAAUUUUGUGAUAUACAAAUUAUACUGUAGAAAUAAUAAUAAUAAUAACAGUAAUAAAGCAAGAAGUCUUUCCACAUCUCCAUGUCCUGUAUUUUCAUUAAAAAAAAAAAAAAGAGAAAAAAGCAUUUCAGGGCCAGGUUCAGUGGCUAACUCUUGUAAUCCCAGCACAUUUGGAGGCCUAGGUGGGAGGAUCACAUGAGGCCAGAAGUUCAAAACCAGCCUGAGCAACAUAGCAAGACCUUUGUGUCUAUGAAAAAUAAAAAAUUAGCCAGAAAUGGUGAUGUGUGCCUAGAGUUCCAACUACUUGGAAAGCUGACGCAGGAGGAUCACUUGAGCCCAGAAGUUCAAGGUUACCGUGACCUAUAAUCACCAGUGCACUCCAGCCUGGGUGACAGAAUAAGACCCUGUCUCAAAAAAAAAAAAAAAAAAAGAAGCAUCUCACUUUAAUAGCAAGUGGCCAAAAUAUGAUGCCGGCUGCAUGUUGUGGGGAAAUGUGUUAGAUGAAAGAAGUUAAAUUCCAGAAGUUUUCCUUUUUUCAGAAAUGAGGUAUAGGGGAGAGAAACACAUACUUGGAAAGAACUGACACAGCUGAAUUGGAAAAUGUGGGAAGGGGAUGGGAAGAGGCUGGUCCACCUGAGACCUGGCUCCAGGACUUACAGCAAGGGGAACUUGGGCAAGUUACAGACUCUCUCUGCCUCAGUUUCUUCAUCAGCAAAACAGAAUCAUCCCAUAAACUGUAAGGUCAAUGCUAUCAGUGGGUCCCCAAAUUGACUGCACAUCUGAGUCAUGUUCACAAACACAUUCCAGGCCCCACCUGAGCCCUCUGAAUCAGAAUCCCUGCAAGGAGGACAAUGAACUUGUAUUUGCACUGACUUUCCCAGCUGUUUUUUACUUUGAUCAACUUGGGGGUAGGACCCUUUGAGCUGCAUCACAUCAUUCCAAAGCCAAAAGACGACAGCAGCACAAGAAUAUUUUCAAGGCAGUGUCUACAGCAGAGGAGAAACUGUUGAGGGAACCUAGAAGUAAAGGAGAUCUGGCUUGCUGGGCUCCAUUUAAACUUUGAGUAUAGCAGAGACACGAGCCCUUUGGGACACAUGCCGGAUGCAGUGACACUCCAACUUCGGAAGAGUGGAAGCCUUAAUUUCAGAUUCAAGCAUGCUUUGAGUAGAAAUUAAGUUUACUUCUUUUUGUACAGCAAGAUGGCCAAUCUUUUCUAAGCUGCUCACCUUACAAGAAAAAGAAUCAUACUGCUCAGAAUUCAAACUUCAGCAGUCAUGGGGAGCCUUGGGAGGAGCCCGAAUCACUGAUGGAAUUGGACAGUGCAUGGAGAUGGUUCAGCAGGACGAGGUGCUGAAAACUCAUCCCUGUGUGACCUCAAGUAAGCCACGUAACUCUGUGAACCUGCAGUUUUAUCAUUUUUAAAAUAAAGAAGCAUGACAGACUUUCAUUAUGACACAGAAUGUCAGGUCUCCCAGAUGCAGAAAAUACAUUUACUUAAAGCCGUUGAUACGUCUUAAAGCAGUAUCCUUACAGUGUCAUUGGAGGACAGCGUGGACUGUAGAGAGACAUGCUUUGAAAUGGGAUUGAUCCAGUCCUCCUUCCUUCACUACCACAUGAAUGCUGAGCAGCCCAGGAUCACACUCAUGACACCCUCAACUCAGGCAAGUCCAGCAGCCAAUCUUAGGACACCUGGGCUACAGAACAGUCUCCCAAGUUCCAGGCUCACAAAACCUAGGUGGGGAUGAAAGCUGAGAAAGUGAGGAGGGGGUUCGGGGGAUCACUCUUUCCUACUCAUUCCUCUAAUCUCAAACUCACCUUCUACUGCAACACUGAGGAUCAGCAACCAACCGUGACCAUAACCUUGAUCUUGCCAUGUUCUGUUAGUGGAAUGAAACCAAAAAUCAAUGGUAUUAGUCCAACCCAACAAAAUAGAUAUCAAACCAAAUUCCAUAAGAACUGCUCAUGGUCCUGUUCUUUUCAGUAUAUGGGAAAACAAAAUGGAAACAACAAAAUAGCAUCAGGUUUAUAAAACUUCCCAAGAUAGAUGGUCACACAUGUUUACAGGAGAUCUCUAUAUAAAUGAUUUUGAUCACUUGAUACCUUGAAAAGAGCUCUUGUGACACUAGAAUGACAUCCAUAAGUGACAAGUAUAAAAUGUAGUGCUCAGUGACAUUAAAAAACAAACCAACCCACAUCGAGGAAGAGCUCUGGACAUAGGGCUGUCAAACUGGUCUAGAGUGUCAUGAAAAGCCAAGAUGGUGCCCCAGUAAGAAAAAAGAAAUCAACAUAACAAUGGGAAGCAGCAAGAAGAACACUGAGACAGGAAAGACAACAUUUUUACAAAUUAAUGAUUCAUUCACUUUCUAGUGGAUACAGACAAAACUGCAGAAGACCCACAGGA